UUGCUCGCUUCGACAGCACAUAUGCUAAAACUGGAAUAUACAGAGAAGAUUAGCAUGUCCCCGGCGCAAGGAUAACACACAAAUUUGUGAAGCGUUCCACAUUUUU
ensembl:snRNA U6 U6 spliceosomal RNA